rnacentral:lncRNA from 1 species
AUAAUGUGCUGUAGUAUAAUGUGUUGUAUUAUAGUGUAUUGUAGAAUAAUGUAUUGUAGUAUAAUGUAUUGUAGUAUAAUGUAUUGUAGUAUAAUGUGCUGUAGUAUAAUGUGCUGUAGUAUAAUGUAUUGUAGUAUAAUGUAUUAUAGUAUAAUGUAUUGUAGUAUAAUGUAUUGUAGAAUAAUGUAUUGUAGUAUAAUGUGCUGUAGUAUAAUGCAAUGUAUUGUAGUAUAAUGUGUUGUAUUAUAGUGUAUUGUAGAAUAAUGUAUUGUAGUAUAAUGUAUUGUAGUAUAAUGUAUUGUAGUAUAAUGUGCUGUAGUAUAAUGUGCUGUAGUAUAAUGUAUUGUAGUAUAAUGUAUUAUAGUAUAAUGUAUUGUAGUAUAAUGUAUUGUAGUAUAAUGUAUUGUAGUAUAAUGUGCUGUAGUAUAAUGUAAUGUAUUGUAGUAUAAUGUAUUAUAGUAUAAUGUAUUGUAGUAUAAUGUAUUGUAGUAUAAUGUAUUGUAGUAUAAUGUGCUGUAGUAUAAUGUAAUGUAUUGUCUAAAAAAUUGUCUCUUUCUGUUCCAUUUUAGACAAACAGCCCUUCACAUUCAGGGCUUUCCCCAACACCAGGUCGGUCUGUCUGUCUGUCUGUCGGCCUCCCUCCCUCUGUCUGUCUGUCAGCCUCCCUCCCUCCGUCCGUCCGUCCGUCUGUCUGUCUGUCUGUCUGUCUGUCGGUCUGGUCUGUCUGUCUGUCUGUGUAUUUACACCAUUAUUCUCAUGUAACUAAAUUAUAUAUACUCAUUAACCAGUCUAAUGACCUGUAUAUAUUCAUUAACCUGUCUAAUGGCCUGUAUAUAUUCAUUAACCAGUCUAAUGAUCUGUAUAUAUUCAUUAACCAGUCUAAUGAUCUGUAUAUAUUCAUUAACCAGUCUAAUGAUAUGUAUAUAUUCAUUAACCAGUCUAAUGACCUGUAUAUAUUCAUUAACCAGUCUAAUGAUCUGUAUAUAUACUCAUUAACCAGUCUAAUGGCCUGUAUAUAUUCAUUAACCUGUCUAAUGGUCUGUAUAUAUUCAUUAACCUGUCUAAUGGCCUGUAUAUAUUCAUUAACCAGUCUAAUGGUCUGUAUAUAUUCAUUAACCUGUCUAAUGGUCUGUAUAUAUUCAUUAACCUGUCUAAUGGCCUGUAUAUAUUCAUUAACCAGUCUAAUGGUCUGUAUAUACUCAUUAACUAGUCUAAUGUCCUGUAUAUAUUCAUUAACCUGUCUAAUGGUCUGUAUAUAUUCAUUAACCAGUCUAUUAACCAGUCUAAUGGCCUGUAUAUAUUCAUUAACCAGUCUAAUGGCCUGUAUAUAUUCAUUAACCUGUCUAAUGGCCUGUAUAUACUCAUUAACUAGUCUAAUGGCCUGUAUAUAUUCAUUAACCAGUCUAAUGGUCUGUAUAUACUCAUUAACCAGUCUAAUGGCCUGUAUAUAUUCAUUAACCAGUCUAAUGGUCUGUAUAUAUUCAUUAACCUGUCUAAUGGCCUGUAUAUACUCAUUAACUAGUCUAAUGGCCUGUAUAUAUUCAUUAACCAGUCUAAUGGCCUGUAUAUAUUCAUUAACCUGUCUAAUGGCCUGUAUAUACUCAUUAACUAGUCUAAUGGCCUGUAUAUAUUCAUUAACCAGUCUAAUGGCCUGUAUAUAUUCAUUAACCAGUCUAAUGGCCUGUAUAUAUUCAUUAACCAGUCUAAUGGCCUGUAUAUAUUCAUUAACCAGUCUAAUUCAUUAA